rnacentral:rRNA from 1 species
AUUCAGCUUGUUGGUGGGGUAAUGGCCUACCAAGGCGACGACGGGUAGCCGGCUGAGAGGGCGACCGGCCACACUGGGACUGAGACACGGCCCCAGACUCCUACGGGAGGCAGCAGUGGGGAAUAUUGCACAAUGGGGGAAACCCUGAUGCAGCGACGCAGCGUGCGGGAUGACGGCCUUCGGGUUGUAAACCGCUUUCAGCAGGGAAGAAGCGAAAGUGACGGUACCUGCAGAAGAAGUACCGGCUAACUACGUGCCAGCAGCCGCGGUAAUACGUAGGGUACGAGCGUUGUCCGGAAUUAUUGGGCGUAAAGAGCUCGUAGGUGGUUGGUCACGUCUGCUGUGGAAACGCAACGCUUAACGUUGCGCGUGCAGUGGGUACGGGCUGACUAGAGUGCAGUAGGGGAGUCUGGAAUUCCUGGUGUAGCGGUGAAAUGCGCAGAUAUCAGGAGGAACACCGGUGGCGAAGGCGGGACUCUGGGCUGUAACUGACACUGAGGAGCGAAAGCAUGGGGAGCGAACAGGAUUAGAUACCCUGGUAGUCCAUGCCGUAAACGUUGGGCACUAGGUGUGGGGGACAUUCCACGUUCUCCGCGCCGUAGCUAACGCAUUAAGUGCCCCGCCUGGGGAGUACGGUCGCAAGGCUAAAACUCAAAGGAAUUGACGGGGGCCCGCACAAGCGGCGGAGCAUGCGGAUUAAUUCGAUGCAACGCGAAGAACCUUACCAAGGCUUGACAUACACUGGACCGUUCUGGAAACAGUUCUUCUCUUUGGAGCUGGUGU